AGAGUUUGAUCAUGGCUCAGAAUGAACGUUGGCGGCGUGGAUUAGGCAUGCAAGUCGAGCGAGAACCCGCAAGGGGGACAGCGGCGAACUGGGUAGGAAUACGUAGGUAACGUACCCUCGGGGCGAGGACAGCCACGGGAAACUGUGGGUAAUACUCGAUAAACUUCCCAAUCAUUAUGGAAGGGGAAGCAAUGGGUGUGAUUCCACCUGAGGAGCGGCUUACGCAGUAUCAGCUAGUUGGUGAGGUAACGGCUCACCAAGGCUACGACGCUUAGGGGGUGUGAGAGCAUGGCCCCCACCACUGGCACUGAGACACUGGCCAGACACCUACGGGUGGCUGCAGUCGAGAAUCUUCGGCAAUGGACGCAAGUCUGACCGAGCGACGCCGCGUGUGGGAUGAAGGCCUUCGGGUUGUAAACCACUGUCAGAGGGGAUGAAGUGUACGAGAGUUAUCUCUUGUAUUUGACAGAGCCUCAGAGGAAGCACGGGCUAAGUUCGUG
rnacentral:rRNA from 1 species